UACGUAGGGGGCAAGCGUUGUCCGGAAUCAUUGGGCGUAAAGCGCGCGUAGGCGGCCCGGUAAGUCCGCUGUAAAAGUCCAGGGCUCAACCCUGGAAAGCCGGUGGAUACUGUCGGGCUAGAGUCCGGAAGAGGCGAGUGGAAUUCCUGGUGUAGCGGUGGAAUGCGCAGAUAUCAGGAGGAACACCGAUGGCGAAGGCAGCUCGCUGGGACGGUACUGACGCUGAGGCGCGAAGCGUGGGGAGCGAACAGGA
rnacentral:rRNA from 1 species